rnacentral:lncRNA from 1 species
UCGCUAUAAAUUCACCUAUUAUAAACUAUCUAAUCAAUUAUCACCUAUCCACAAAACAUAAUUUAAAUGGUGAUGAGAUGAUGAACCUUCUUGGAACCAAGUAAGUAAAGUUUUUUCAGCCCCAUAGACAAAGUUGUAGGUGAAAUAGAUAGAUAGAAACAACACAUUACUCAAGCCUAAUAUAGGGUGGCCCAAUUAUACAUGGUCACAAUGUCUACCUUCACAAUAACAAGCAAACCCAUGUGGGACUUAUCUUAUAAGAUAUGAUCAAUCUUUAGGGUAGUUGAAUUUCACCAUUAAGUGAAUAUGAAGGAAUUGUGCGUGUGUUAUGGCUUUCCGGCAAUGAUAACCGUCCUUCAUUUAAGGUCGACAAAGAUAACGACUAUGUUAUGUUUUGAAACAACAGAGUACAUGUGAUCAUGGAAGACAUUGUUG